rnacentral:rRNA from 1 species
AUUGAACGCUGGCGGCAUGCCUUACACAUGCAAGUCGAACGGUAACGGGCCUUCGGGUGCCGACGAGUGGCGAACGGGUGAGUAAUGUAUCGGAACGUACCUUUCAGUGGGGGAUAACGUAGCGAAAGUUACGCUAAUACCGCAUAUUCUGUGAGCAGGAAAGCAGGGGAUCGCAAGACCUUGCGCUGAUGGAGCGGCCGAUAUCAGAUUAGCUAGUUGGUGAGGUAAAGGCUAACCAAGGCGACGGUCUGUAGCGGGUCUGAGAGGAUGAUCCGCCACACUGGAACUGAGACACGGUCCAGACUCCUACGGGAGGCAGCAGUGGGGAAUUUUGGACAAUGGGGGCAACCCUGAUCCAGCCAUGCCGCGUGAGUGAAGAAGGCCUUCGGGUUGUAAAGCUCUUUCGGCCGGGAAGAAAUCGUAUCAGCUAAUACCUGGUGCGGAUGACGGUACCGGCAUAAGAAGCACCGGCUAACUACGUGCCAGCAGCCGCCGUAACAC